rnacentral:rRNA from 1 species
AAAACAUGUCUUUUUGAUAAAAAUUUAAAGUCAGGUCUGCUCACUGAAUAAUUUUAAAGAGCCGCAGUAUACUGACUGUGCAAAGGUAGCAUAAUCAAUAGUUUUUUAAUUGAAAACUGGAAUGAAAGAUUAGACGAAAAAUUAAUUUUCUUUAUUUUAAUAAAUUUAAUUUUAAAUUUAAGUGAAAAUGCUUAAAUAUAAUUAAAAGACGAGAAGACCCUAUAGAUUUUUAUUAUUGAAAUAAAUUUAUAAAUGUGAUUUAAUAAAAUAAUUUAAUUGGGGUGAUUUUAUAAUAUAAAUAACUUAAUUUCUUGAAACCAUAAAUAAUUGAAUUUUUGAUCUAAAAUUUUUAAAGAAAAGAUUAAAUUACCUUAGGGAUAACAGCGUAAUUUUAUUUAAGAGUUCGUAUCUAUAAUAAAGUUUGCGACCUCGAUGUUGAAUUAAGAUAAUAUAUUGGAGUAGAAAUUAAUAUAAUUAGUCUGUUCGACUAUUAAAUUCUUACGUGAUCUG